AUCUUCCGCCCGGCCAUCGGGCCGCGGGCGCUCGGAACCGACCUGGGAGCUGGCGGGACCGUCCUCCCCCGCCACGCCCUCCCAUCGGGCUUUGGGCGCCGGACUCUGGCCACCGCUCGGCACCUGCCUCCGCCUCGCCUUGGGGUAUAGGAGUCCUGUACCGACCCCUGGCUUGCCCAGAGGACAGGUUCUCGCCCGGGCCAGAAGCAAACUGCGGCGAAAUCGAGACAACAGAACUCAGAGUCACUCUGUCACCCAGGCUGGAGUGCAGUGGCACCAUCACAGCUCCCUGCAGCCUUGACUUACAGGGCUCCAGUGAUCCUCCACCCUCAGCCUCCUGAGUAUCUGAGACCACAGGUGCAAGCCACCAUGCCCAGGUCUCUUUCACCCUCUAGCAUACAUCUUACUAAGGCAUCUAAAGUACUUACUACUUCGUACUCAUGGGAUCCAAUGAUGCUCACAUAAUGUCAUCAAUAGAGUGGACCAGUGUGAUGUUUUGUGGAAUGUCAGAACAAUCAAGAUCACUUCAGACUAUUAUGGCAGUGAGCAAGAGAACUAAUGGAGCCCGUGGCAACACUGGGAAGACAUAUUGUUGGCCCUGUUGGGUAACAGCAAAUCACUUCUGAUGGACCUUGCAAAUUGGUAUGGAGGAAAAGGCAUUAGCCAGUUGUAGCAAGGAAACCAAAAGGUAUAAACAUUCACUGAUUGAAAAACAAUGUCAUAAAGUCAUCCCAGUAUCUGUGAGGAGUUGGUUCCAGGACCCCUGAGGACACCAAAAUCCUCAGAUGCUCAAGUCCCUGAUAAAAAAAUAAAAGCAGUGGUGCCCUCGGGUUCAAAAACCUGAACGGUGGUCUUCAGUUGUUCCCCCAAGCUCCUCUAUCAGAGGCCCAGACACUCCAAGAGGCUGGGAAGAG
rnacentral:lncRNA from 1 species